GAUUUAUGAUGACAUAGGACCUUGUCUGAAUAUAAUGAUUUCAGAAAUUGAGCUUAGAGUAACUCUGAAAUC